GUAUCACAAUUGUAUAACAGGUUUACUUGAGAAGAAACAACACCAUCACGUUGAAACAUAGUGCUAUCAAAAGUUCUGUUCUUGGGAUUUCCACUCACAUUGACAGCACAAAUACCACUCCAGUAAUCGUCUCUGGCGAUCGUGAGUUUCUGUAUUAUAUCAUUCCAAUCAUGAAUACGGUAUUUGGCGUCAUUGAUGGUUAUCUUUGGAACACUUUCUUCGCAUGUAAGCUCCAUAUUAGGAUCAGAAGAAACACCACCACAAUAUUUUUUCCUAUUUUCUCCCCAGAAUGGAUACUUGAUGUUCGUGAUGCUGCUUCCGCAGUUAAAAGCGUUGUUACAGUUUGUGUAUUGGUCGUCAUCAUCACACAUACACGUUGGAAUAUUGAUGAUUGAGAUCAACAAAAGGGUGAAGGAGAAUAAGGAAAUAAUAAUGGAAGAAGAUGGAUGAUGAAGUAGAGGGUUUCAUUCUUUCUUGCGCUAGACCAAAGAAGUAAUAGUGGAACAAGUGUAAAUAAUAAGAUAAGAUUGAUUUGGGUUAGAUAAACUUAACAUCUUGAUUUAGUCAGCUUAAAAUUAUAAUGAGAGUUGAUUCAACUCUACUUUCACUUUCAUGUUUCUUUCUUUUUAUGAAAAUCCACUUUCAUGUUUCAAUGCAUCAUAAUUUUCUACACUUUGUGAAGUUUCUAGGAAACUACAUGUAGAAUUCAAUACAUUAAGUUACUGUUGUAGUAAAAAAUUAUGAUACUUAAUACUCCAUCUAUCUUUUACUAUAGGAGUCUGUAACAAAAACAAUGAGUAUUAAAUUUCAUUUUUGAAGUGAUGUAAAUAAUACUAAUUUUAAUAUAUUGGUACGUAAACUUUGUUAUUUCUUUACCAACCAAUGCCCAUUUUUUCACCACCUCCAAAUUGUGUUAACAUUUUAUGCAGAUUUUUGUUGGCAUUCACUUUAGUCACCGUAUUUGUUUGUAAUUUGGCGUAUUACAUCUGCGCAUGAAAAAAAAAGUAUUGCAAGAAAUUCGGCAACAGGUGGCCUUCAAUCCGUGGUGGUUGAUCAAAAACCACCCCACAUUAAAAGUUGCGGUUGAGCUGUUCACUCUUGGUAACCAUCACAGGUUCACUUCUAUUUAUUUUUAGAUUUGUUUUUGGUGUUUAUAGACUGUGAGUUUAAAUAUUUUCGAUACAUGAUUUGGUGUUUUAUGUUUAUGAUGUUACAGAAACACCACUAUCAGGAACAGGUUUGCAUCGCAUGCUGCCACUGUUUCAAAAAUCUGAGUUUCACAGUUUUUAUGCAGAUUAUCUUUGAGUUCGGGUAGCGUUAAAUCAAAUGAUACAUUUACAAUUGAUUCCUUCUGUGUAAACUAAAUUAGAAGCUGGGAAAAGCAUCAUAAGUGCAAGUUUAGACAAGUAUGGUGCAUGACUUGAAUUCACAACAGAAAUAAUAAGAUUGAUGUAAAAAAUAAAAACAGUAAGUGGCCAGUUUAGUGACAGUAAAUUAGUCACUACGAUAACUAUAAUUCGUGCAAAAUGGAUUUUGAAGUUCAACAAACUAAUACCAUAUUUGUAUGCCAGAAAUAGUUACACAAAUUAAUUAGUCCAUUGAAUUUAUAGAAAUAACAAUUAUUUUGAUACUGUAACUGAAUUUGUCUCGUACAAAUCGGAUGAAGACAUAUCUGACACUUGUAGUUCUGGCCUUUCGGGUGAAUAUAAGACAGGCUUUGGAGGAUAUGAUACCGAUGAAAGUGGUCCUUGCAACAUUUCUAUUACUUUAUUCAUCGGUGGUCUAUCUGAUGGUUUAGUUUGAAUGCACCAUAGACUCACCAAAGUAAUCUUUCUGAUCAUAUCAUUUUCUUCCUCCGAGAUUGUUGAACAAUUUAAAAGAGUAUUCCCUUGCUCAAGAUCCUUAUAAAUCCAAUCUGGAAAGUACAUUUCAGAAGUACAUGACCCUCCCGUGUCGUAGUUCUUCCUUCCUCCGAUCAUUUCAAGAAUCAACAUGCCAUAACUAUAUACAUCAGAUCUGUACGAAACUCCACCAAACGCUCUACUAAAUAUUUCUGGUGCCAUGUAUCCUAUAGUUCCUCUUGCCCCUAAUAUUGACACAAUACUAUCCUUCCUUUGGCAUAUUUUAGCUAGUCCAAAAUCUGAGAUUUUUGGACAAAAAUCUUCAUCCAAAAGAAUGUUUUGAGGUUUUAUAUCAAGAUGUAGAAUCCUUGAACUACAUCCUUGAUGCAAGUACUCUAGACCUUUAGCAAUGCCAAUUGCAAUUCGAAACAAAGUGUUCCAAUCAAAAUCACAAAUGGCAUUAGGAAAUUCACUUUUGUAGAUGAACUUAUCCAAUGAUCCUUUGGGCAUGAAUUCAUAUAUUAGCGCUCUUUUGUUCUCUUCGUAACAAUAUCCUAAAAGCGACACAAUGUUCAUAUGUGAUGUCCUACUAAUGCUAGCAACUUCAUUUAUGAAUUCUUCUCCAUUUCCCUUUGUCUCGCUUAUUACUUUCACUGCCACUUGACGACUAUUAUAUAAACUUGCUUUGUAGACAACACCAUACCCUCCUUGGCCUAACUUUUCUCGAAAAUAGUUUGUGAUCAUUUUCACUUCUGCAUAACUAUAUCUUCUUGGCAUGGAUAAAUUAUGACUGCGCAUGAAAACCUCCACAUUGUUGUCAACAAGUUCUGUUCUUUCUCUCAAGAUAGUUUGUGGGAUAAGACUUGAUUGUUGUUGUUGUCUGAGAAUAAUCAUUUGUUGUCUACCUGUACCUCUUUUAAGGCGACGACUAAUCAUGAUAAUAAUGAACACGGUUACUCCAAAUCCAGCAAUGGAAGCACCUGAAUUUAUGCAAAGAACAAAUAAAUAAUUUUCAUAUCUUGUUUAUGUAGGAAAAAAUAAUUUAUGUCGUCAGGAUAAUAUGGAAUGAGACACGCUGAUAUUAGAAAGUGUAACCAAAUUGUUUAUUAUUCUUACCUAUUAUCACUGGCCCCCAAUUCCGCUUUGAACCUACAAUUCAAAAACCAAAUUAGAUAGAACUUAUAAUAAUCACGCUCAUGCAUUAUCUUGAAGAGAAAUAGGCAUUUAUUUUCUUAUUGCUUUGUAUUUUUGCAGCAGAAAUGAAGGGAAAUUGCCUUCCAAUUUUGAGCAACACGCUCGGCUCAUGUUGAUUUUGAUGGAGAAAAUAGAGUGAGCAAUCGACCUUUGAACACAAAAAAGCUAGUUUAUAGCUUGUUGGACUAGCUUAUAAGCUUGUUUUGAUAAAAUGAGACGUGUUUGGUAAAAAGCUUUUAUCACUAGCUUAUAGCGUUUUUUAAGAAGCUAAUCCAAAUAGCUUUUUAGCUUAUAGCUUGUAGCUUUUUAUACUUUCUUCCCAUUUUAACCUUUUCUUAAUUUUAUUUUAUUUUAUUAUAAUAAAAAAAAAACUACCCACUAUCAUCUUCAACUAACCAUGUUUACCAUGUAUGACUUUUUAAAUUUUCUUGUCCACUUUUUUGUUUUUUUUUUACUUUGCUCAUAAUUCAUAUAAUAUAUAAUUUUAUAUAAAAUUUAUAAUAGUGAAGCAAGUUUAGUUAAAUAAAAUUCAUAAAAAUAAAAUAUAAAUUGUUAAAUAAAAAAAUUCGAUUGAAUUCAUAAAUACAUUUAUUAUUUUGGAGAUGAAAAUAAUUUGAAAUAUAUUUAAAUAUUUAAAAAUAAAUGUGUUAAGUAAUAAAAAUUAUAUAUAUGAUAUUAAAAAAAAUUAAACAAGCAUGUCCUUUUAUGUCAUUUUAUAUUUAUAGUCACUUCAACAGCUAAUUUUACCCAACACUUUUAAUUUUAAUCAGCUAACUUUUCAGCUAUAAGCUAUCAACUAUCAGCCAUCAGCUAUCAGCUAGCUUAUCAGCUAUCAGCUAGCUUAUAGUUUUUUUUUACCAAACACACCCUAUCUUUUCCGUUCCAUUUUUUCUUCUUUUCCCUUUCAUUUAUUUUCCACUUUUCAUUCAUUUUACAUUUGUGUAAUUUUAUAUGAGAUGUGUUAUUUAAAGAACCAUUUAAUUAACAACUUAUUUGACAACUAUUGAUUUACAAAGAAAAAGUAAAUAUUGAACCCUCAUUUAGUUUUGGUAGUAAUUGUUAUCUAUUAAAAGUAUAGAAUGAACCCUCAUUCAAUCUUCUUGUCACUUUAUUUACUCCUUGACCAAUAUAAUAUUUCCUUGAUUUUAUAGAACUAGUGUUGCUUUAUCAUAAUUUUUAUAGAACAUAUACCUUAAAAAACAUCUACUGAUUUAUAAAUUUCCUUAGAAGAAAAAAAUCUACCUGGUAAAAUCUGAUUGUAAAAAAGUUGAAACACUUAUUGGAUCAGGAUGAUCUCUAAACUCUAUUAUUACUAUAACUAGUUAUAGAAACUAACUUAGGAGUUAAUUGUAUAAGAAAGUGAACUACAUACUUGAGGUUGGGGCCUUCCGUGAACCACAUAUAUCUGUAUAAGCUCCAUCAUUGCAGAAACAUCUGAAUUCAGUUCCAUUGUUGCCACACGCACCACCAGAAUCAACACACCUCUGGGCAAUCUGCAUAAUUUCCCAUCCACCUCAAAUCAAAACCGCCUUGUAAUGCUUCGUUUAUAUCAUCAAGAUUUGUAAUUCUUGUUACCGAAAUUGGAAUCGCAAUAAUAACACUCAGAUUGCAUGUGAGUGAGAGCGAACGAGGAUCCGAAAGGGUGUACACAACUUCAAUAUUACCUCCGCAGUUGGCACUAUAAACCACAUUCAAUACAGUUGUAUCACAAUUGUAUAACAGAUUUAGUUGAGAAGAAACACUACCAUAAGGUUGAAACUGGUCAGCGCUCUCAAAUGUGCUGUUAUUAGGCUUGUCACUCACACUCACACUCACAGUACAAAUACCACCCCAGUAAUCGUCUCUAGCGACUGUGAGUUUCUGUGUUGUAUUGUCCCAUUCAAGAAUACGGUAUUUGACGUCAUUGAUGGUUAUCUUUGGAACACUUUCUUCGCAUGUAAGCUCCAUAUUAGGAUCAGAAACACUACCACAACGCUCUUCUCUGUUAUUUCCCCAGAAUGGAUACUUGAGGUUUGUGAUGCUGCUACUUCCGCAUUCAAAAGCUUCGUUGCAGUCUGUGUAAUCAUUGCACAUACACGUUGGAAUAUUGAUGAUGAAGAUCAUCAAAAUGGUGAAGGAGAAAAAUGAAAUAAUAAUGGAAGAAGAUGGAUAAUGAAGCAGAGGUUUCAUUUUUGCCACUAGACCAAAGAUGAAAUAGUGGGACAAGUGUGAAUAAUAUGAUUGAUUUUGGUGAGAUAAAGAUAAAUAAUCAUUUUGUCAGCUUAAAAUUUAGAAUAUUCAACUCCCAUUUCACUUUCAUUUUAAUUCAAUUCAAUGCAUGAUUAUUUUCGAUUUCUUUGAAGUUUCUGCGAGACUGGAUCGAAGCUACUGCCAAUGUAGAAUUUAAUACACGAAGAACUUUGUUUUAGUCGUUGUAUUGCCAAUGUAGAAUUUAUAUUAAUUAUUUAUUGGGUCAUGCUGAUGUGUGUUCUUAUAACGCAUGUUAAAUAUUAAAUUCCUUGCCAUUAAUGAUAAGAAUUAAUUAAAAAAAAUUAAUAUUAAACUUUGACUGAUGCUAGUCACACAAAAAAAAAACAAAUUACAUCCAAAUUUAUUUAAAAUUUUACAAUAAUACCAAAAUUGUCCUCUUCAUGUAAAUUUUUAAAAAUUCAUCUUUUAUGAUCAUUCUGAACCCUUACUCCCUUUCAUCCACAAAUCACCAUAGAUGUGCAACCAAUAUCUGAAUCAACAUCUUUGUUAUUGAUCUGUACUAUAUUCAUAAAGGUUAGUGAAUUUCAUAAAUUUCAUUUUCGAUGAGUUUCUAUUUGUUUAUUGUUUGUUUUGAUAUGAGAUAUGCCUGUCAAUUUGAUUUUAAGUGGGAGGUUAGUGUAAAUUAAGUUUACGUGUAUGUAUAUAAAAGGGGUUAGUGUAGUUUACGUAUGUAGGUUAAUGUAAAUUCAAGUUUACGUAUGUUCAAUUUAGGUUAGUGUAAAUUCAGUUUACAUGUAAAUUAAGUUUAUUUAUGUUCAAUUUAGGUUAAUGUAAAUUUAGUUUACGUAUGUAUAUAAGAGGUUAGUGUAAAUUCAGUUUACUUACGUUCAAUCUAGGUUAAUGUAAAUUAAGUUUACUUAUGUUCAAUCUAGGUUAAUGUAAAUUCAGUUUAAUUACGUUCAAUCUAGGUUAAUGUAAAUUAAGUUUGUAAAUUCAGUUUACUUACGUUCAAUCUAGGUUAAUGUAAAUUAAGUUUACUUAUGUUCAAUUUAGGUUAAUGUAAAUUAAUUUUACUUAUGUUCAAUUUACGUUAAUGUAAAUUUAGUUGAUUUGAAAUUUUUAUUUUAGUUAAAGGGUAUAUUAGUCAUUCUGGGGUGUAACUUGUUUUUUUGGGGUGUGACUAGCACCAGUCUUAAACUUUUUGAACAAUAAAUUAACACAAUUUUCGAUACAUAAUUUCUAUUAGUAAAUUUUUUAACAUUAAACACAAUUUAGUAUUUCCCUUAUUUAUUUACCAAUAGUAUGUUAGUACUUAUUUAUUUUACAUAUUUUUUCAAUCAACAAUAUUAAUAAAUAUCUUGAAGAUAUAAACUACUCCUAAUUCUCUAUCUUAAAAUAUAUAAUCGUAAUAACUAACGGUCAUUACAAACAAAUUUAAUCUUAGCAAUAAGCAACCGAAGACUUCUUACUUUUCAUUUUUCUUGUGCUUCGUGUUUUAAUCUUGAUUUAUGAUCAAGACUUGAAAAUUGAACUAUUGUGAAUAAAUUACACUUAACUGCUUGCUUUAACCAAAAGUUUAGAGCAACUGAUUUUAUUUUUUUGUAUCUUUUUCUUUGAUUGUGAUUUAUUUUUUUAAAGGAUUCUUUGUUUGUGAUUAUAUUGUCGGGAAGCAUAGCAUAGUCCAAACCUAACUCUUUUAGCAAGCAUAGAAUAGUCCAAACUUGACUAGACUCCUAAAUUUUGAUUAUAAAAUCAAGAAUAAUGUGGUACCAAAUGAUAGUAUAAUCAAGAAUAGGUCAGACGCAUUGUAAAAAAAUAAAUAAAAAUAUAUUAGUCAGAUAUUUUGUAAAAAAAAAAAUUAGGUAUCAAUAUCUUAAAUUGACUUCCUCUAAAAAAAAUCAUAGAUUAACAAUAAAUCAACAUUAAGAGUACUUAUUCAAAAUUGUCUAUGUGUUUUGACAUUUGUGUCUAAUCUUAUUAUUUUAUCAUUAUUGUAAAGUAGUAUCAGAAAGAGUAUGGAAAGAGAGAAGUUGAUGAGAAAGAGAGUAGAUUUCACAUAUAGUGUUUGGUACUAAAAAGAAAGGAGAGGAAUAGAGGAGAAGAAAAUGAAGAAAACCUAACGUUUUUGAAUUAAAACUAAUCGAAAGGACCAAAAUGUGUAACGGAGAAAAGUUAUGGGACCAAAAUAAAUCAAAUUUUACUUGAGGGUCCAAAACGAUACUACCUGAAUAAUUAAGGUACUAAAAAUGCAAUUUAGCCAUUAAUUAAAUAAAUAGUGGCCGCAUAUCAAGAGGCAUAUCAAAACCAGGGAGAAAUAUGGAAAAGAAGAAAAAAUUGCAGCUCCCCUCCAUUUCUUCGUACAUGCAAAGAGAAAUGCAAAAGGCAUGGGUCCCACCUAAUUUUAUCUCUCUUCUUAGUCUCUCUUCUCAACCAAACACAAGAGAUUGGUUAUCUCUCCCCAACUUCUCUCUCCCCUCUUUCUCUCUUUCUUAUUUCUACUCUACCAAACACAGUGUAAGUCUUAAUAAGUUAAGAGAGUUAAGCAUGUGAAAAAUGAUUCAUUAUAAACUCAAUGAUUCAUGUUCCUUGGAUCCACUCUCCCUCCCACAUCAAGGAGGAUCAUAGCAAAUUUCUAAUAAAAAUCAUAAAAUUUUGAAAAAUGCUAACAAUUGUUUUUAUAGCAUUGUUUAACGAACUAAAAAAGAUAACUUUUGAUUAGAAAAUGAUAUAAUUAUUAUUUAUACAAUUCUUUAACUUAUUAUAUCAAUAUAUGAUUUAUUAUUAUGUAUUUCUUAAAUAAUAACUUUAGUACACAUGUUAGCAUGACUCACUUAUAAUGAGUUACAUAUCUAUUAUAUUUUCAAUUUAUAGUUCAUUCCUAUGUCACACUUGAAUUUCAACAUACACCAUCUCCUUUCUAAUAAUAUUAGAACUUAAAAAGAAUAAUUCACAUAGUCAAAAUUAUAUGGAGUGCUGUUUUAUAGAGGAGAAAGACCAACUAGUUAUAUUAUAGUUAUAGUUUAGUACAAAUACUCCCCAUUUAUUAUUCACAUAAGGGGGGAAAGAUUUCGGUUCUGUAAGACAAGAAAAGUACACCCUUAUUUCGGUCAUAACAAUAAAUGUAUAGCUAAGCCACAAACGGGGAAAAGUACAUUUGAUCUUAGUUAUGAUAAAUCAUCCCACAUUACCCAGCCCUAAGCAUAAAGUGUAUUAAAAUCUAAAAUGUCUAUUUGAGAGAAAUUUAUAUUCAAUAAUGCACGUAGUAGGCCUGCAUUUUUACACCUUAUAAAUAAAUAGGGAAUUAGAGAGCACCACAGUGAUGUGCACUUCUUGAGAGGACUUGUACAAGACAAUGCAAACAAAACAACCGAACGAUUUGGUCAUACAUACAACUAGAUUACUUGAAAUCUUAAACAGAUACUGAACCAGUGAACCCUCUAUUGCGAAGAUUGUCAUUAUCCUAAGCAACGGUUCUGACCUUAGUCAACAAAAGCAAUGCUACCUUACAAUUAAUAAAUGAUUGAAGCUUUGUUUUCUUUGGUUCCAAUCAUGGUUCUAUAACAUACCGUAAGAGUGUAAACAUUCCUAAGUACGGAUUAAUUUCAUAAUCUCUGAGCAAUUUGUUCAGCCACUUGAUCCAAGUUUAAUGUGACAUCACUCUUUUUUAAGUCGAGUGAUUAAACUAUGAGAGGAAGGCACAAAUAAAAGAAGCACAUUAAAAAAAAGAUGUAUAGAGGAAAACAUAAACUUGUGGGUUGCUUAAGUGUAUGUUUACUUCCACUUUUAAAGGGAACAUAAUUGAUUUUGAAGUUGUAUAAUUAAUUUUGACAUGUUGGCUUGUUGCAAAGUAGAAUUGAUUUUGUCUCUUGAAUUGAUUCUCAUUAAAGCUAGGAUUUGUAGCCUUUGGUUAUAAAAUUGAUUUUCACGCAAAUUUAUAGUUCAACGGUAUUUAAACACAAAUCACUUCUAGUAAAAAUAUUCAAACACAAAUCACUUAUAAUAAAAAUGACUUUUAACCAAAAUCAAUUCUACAGAAUUAAUUCUAUCAAAAUCGAUUAUUUCCACCACACAACCAAACACAGACCAAGUAUGUUAAAUCUAAUAACUGGUGUGUCAGUACAAAACUAGAACUUUGAAUAAUAAUAGUAUAAUGAUUUUUUCUAGAUUACCUUCGAAGAAUGGUGGGUAAUUUACCCACCAACUAAUGAAAAUGAGCAAUUUGUUGGUGGGAUCAAGAUAGUUCAUGGAUACCACUUAAAAAUGUGCUUAUGUGACUAAUGUAUAUUGGUUGGAGUAAAUUACCACCAUUCUUCCAUGGGUAUCCUAGUUGUCACCUGGUAUAAUACUACGAAAAAGAAUAAUAAUACUACGAAAAAGUUAUCUUAGAAGGCAAAUGGAGACAAUCUUUGUAACAAGGCAUCAUCGAUUCCUACACAGCAGCAAUUCCAAUAAAAAGAAAAAAUAUACACGAUAAGGAAAAUGUUAACCAUUGUCCUUAAAUAAGGAGAUAAAAAUAAAAAUAUAAUAUUAAAAAAUGAUGAAAAGUGAUAAAUUUAACUUUUUAAAAAUCAAAAUGUUGUUGAAACCAAUGCAAACUCAUACUGUAUUUAACUUUUUGGCUUCUUUAAUCAAUGCCUUGUGAGCAUUGCGGACAAUGGUUAGCAAACCCAUAUUCUAAUUAUAAUUAUACCAACUAUUCUAUUUAUCAAUCACUUCAUUAAUCAAUCAGUGCAUUUCUUCUAUUCAUUAAUAAUUCUUCUAUUUAACCAAAUAUUUUGACUCCAUUAAGAGUAAUUAACCAUCAAACGCACAAAAUUCAGCAAACGACGUCGUACAUUAUUAAAGCGCCCAUUUCCGCCAAACGUUAGUUUCGUUAACUUUUUACCAGAAACAUUUCCGCGCACGUUAGCAGCAAAAACUAAACGUGAUUAUUUAUUCAUUUGGCUACAACUAAACGUGAUUAUUAAUAAUUUUUUACUAUUACUAUCUCCAAAAAAAAAAAAAAAAUCUGAAUUCAACCGUACAGUAACAGUAGAGAGAAACUGUAACCGUUACUCAGGAAUAGUGAACAAUACCGGCCGCCAUGCUCUUCUCAGUAACCUGUAACGAAACGCUGAUGACACCGGCCGGAGAGCCGCGACGGCAGAAGAUCGACGGAACGGAGAUCCAGUUCGGAAUCGGACAGCGACGGUGGAGCAAUCUUUCUGAUCGUAAUUCUGCUGCUGUUGCUGCUGUUGGGAGAUAUUCUUCUCGUCUUGUAGCAUCGUCGGCGGAGACGGAAGUGACGGCGGAGAUGGAGAGGAGACGAAUAGGUCUUUAAGCUUGUGGCGAACUUUGACUUCAUCGGAGGAAGGAGGAGGUGGAUCUAGGGGAGGAGGAUGGAAACGGCGGCGGUCGUGCGGACGAGUGAGGAACAUGCGGAGGGUUUUGCGGCGGCGGAGGUGGAUGACGGGACUGGUGGUGGGACUGCGUGUGGGGCUGUUGGCGAUGGCGCAUUGUGUAGCUAAGAGCUUGAAUUUGUGCAUUUAGGGAUAGAAUUAAAUGAAUUUGGGGUUUUUUGUUUUAUUUGUGAAGAGAGAUGAAGGUUAGAUCUGAGAAGGAUAGUGUUUGGAAUUAGAAAGUAGAAUGAGAAUAGAAUGAUUGGGUUGAGUAUUAUCGGGGGAAUAUUAAAGCUGUCUUUUCUUCUCUUGCCCCUAUCUCCUACUCUAAUCCUACUACUUACUACAUACUACUAGGAGUACAUCACAUAAUGGAAGGAAUUAUAUUUAGGCUAUGUUUGGCGAGAAACAUUUUUCAGCUUAUAACUUACUCACUCCGAGGUCACAUAUAUCAAUUAUUCAAUAAAUUUAAAAAAUAAUUUUUUUUUCUUAUAAUAGUGACAGAAGGAAGUAGUGUUUUUUUGGUAAAAUUGAUUUGUGUAAUAAUCGUCAUAUUCUUAUGAGUUUAUAAUUUAUUCUUAUUGACUUGUAGUGUUUUUUUAUAAGAUAACUUAACUGGCUUAUAGUUUAUCAUUUUUCAUCUUUAUUUUACCUUUGCUUAAUUGGAGAAAAAAAAUUAAAUAUUAAUGAAAUAAUUUUUUUGGUCUUUCAUAUUUAUAAGUUAGUUCAACGGUUAAUUUUAUCAAACACUACAAAUUCAAAAUAGUUAACUUAUCUGUUAUCAGCUAUAAGUUAGCAAACUCAAUUAUCGGGAUAAGUGAGCUAAUGCUCCAUAUAACAAGGAUAUUUUAUUUGAUGUAUUUGUAUUAAUUAUAUAUAUUUUUUAAAGACUAUUUUGGAAAGAAAGCGGAUAUACCAUGUCGAUUUUUCCGAUUACCGCACCGACCGAGAACAAUACUCGUUUUUAAACUGUAUAUUAUUCACAGAGAUUUUGUAUCUUAUUAAAGUGUUGUUUCAGAUUUAGAAACUGAGACGAAGACAACUAAUGACGUCGAAAGUUGUGGGGUUUGACAUUUUAGAAGCAUCUCUUCAUUGGGUUAGGUUGAUAGUUUGGAUAUUAGUAGACAAAAUGUAUAUAUAGUGUUCUUAUUUUGUUUGGGUUCUAUUUAUAAAGUGUUGACCUACGAUGAUUUAAACCAAUAAGAGAGUAAGUAUUAAAGAUAGUGUUCAAAAGCAAGUGUCGUUAGCAUUCCUCAAACAUGAGCUGAAUAAUCAUAUUAACAGCUAUUUCAACUAACAGAUUUAUAUAAUCAUUCUUUCUACUAACAAAAUUAUAUAAUCAUAUUAACAACUAUUUCAACUAAUUAUGAUCAGCAAAGAGCCUCUGUGUUGUUUAGUAAUAAUUAGUACAACUGCUGAAUAACAUGGCCUAAAUAUUCACCACUUGAUGUAUGUGGAUAUGUAUCAUUUACAGUAUCUUACAAAAUUCACCCGCCAAAGUAUAUCUGAAUCCUGAACAACAACUCUGGCCAUUCACUUGUGUGGUUAACCUCUUCAUCUUAGCAUUCCCCUAUUCUGAAAUAAGAUAAUGAAAAUUCAGCAGCUGUAUGUACUCACUCAAUUUAUUAUUUUCCUAUAGUCCUUUCAUUUAAAUCCUAACUUAUGUAUAUGUUAUACACAUAACAAAAAAGUAACAAUUAAAUUACUAUGUAUAUAUAUUUCAAAUACAUCAAACAAACUAAAAUAUUGGAAUAUUUACACUGAAAGUUUAUAUUAUUUCUAACUCUGAGACAGCUACUAAUAGUAAUACUAUUAUCAUACAUGCAAAAAAUAAUACUGUAAAAACACAUAAGCUUUUAGAAGAAAAGAUAUUUGAAGGCCAAAAUGACUUCUGAACUAGCUCAUUGAAACCAGUAGAGUAGUUUUACAUUUUACCAUCUAAAAUCUAAGUCCUCGCCAAAAGAAAAAUGAAAUCUUAGAACCUAUGAAGAAGUAGAUGUAGAAGAGCCGCUAACCCAUUUUUCAGCAACAGAAUCUGGUGAAGUUGGGUAAGGACCCUUCUUCAGAAGUACAAGCUCAUCUGUUCUGACAACAACAUCCAAUACUUUUGAUUCCUGUGUUUCAGGUUCAUCACUCUUGAUUGCUCGCAAUACCUCCACAAUCUCAUCCAUUGAAGGUCGCAGGUCUCUUUGUUGCUGCAAACACCUAAAUGCCAAUUCAGCCACUGCUGUUGUCAUCCUCUUCACAGAAUUGUCCUUUUCAUAUCCAAGAUUAGGAUCAACCAAAUCAUACAAUUCUUGGCUCUGAAUUUUAUUGACGGCCAUGUUAGCUAAGUUCACAUCGUUGCGAUGCCUGGUAAUAUCCACGGCUUGUAAUGAUGAUAUAAGCUCGACCAAGACUACGCCGAAGCUAUAAACAUCACUUUUGUCUGUGAGUUGGUAACACUGAUAGUACUCAGGAUCAACAUAACCAGGUGUUCCUUGUGGAGCUGUUGAUACAUGUGUGACAUCGUUCGGAAACAACCUUGAAAGACCGAAAUCAGCAACCUUAACAUGGAAUUUUUCGUCUAGGAGAAUGUUAUUCGAUUUAACAUCACGGUGCAUGACAUCCGAUGCAUGGAGAUAGGCUAGUGCCUCAGCUGUUUCUAAUGCAAUGUCCAAUCUUACAGACCAAGGAAGCAAACAGGAGCUUGAUCGGUCCCCAUGAAGAUGAUCAGCUACUGUUCCAUUUGAUAUGUAUUCAUAAACAAGGAGAAGCUCUCUGCUAUGUUUGGAGGUGCAUCCAUAGAGUGUCACCAGGUUCUUAUGCCUUAAGCGUGCUAGAAUCUCAACUUCAUUCAUGAAUUGCGCCACACGUUUAAAAUUGCUUUCGUAAUGGCGUUUAACUGCAACCACGCGUCCAUCUUUGAGAUCACCUGAUCAACAAUCAGAGGAUAUAUAGUUUAUAAGAAAACUAGAAAACUAAGGGAAAUCAAUUCUGUGAGAAAAUGUAUAUUGGAAAGUGGAAAUUAUAUUGUUAAUUACCUUUGUAAACAGUGCCGAAACCUCCCUCUCCAAGUUCUUUAGAAGUGUGGAAAUUGUUAGUAGCUUCUUCUAGUUCUUCAUAGGUAAAUACCUGGACACCAAAGUAGAAACUCUUUGGCAUUGUGCUGGUUUUGGAAGAGGGGUAAGAAGGAAUACUCUGAGACGAAUUAGUGGUGGAGGUUAGAGUGCCGGUGUUUGUGCCUGAGGUAGUGCUUGAAGGAGGCAUGUACAGGUCAUUGCUUAUUGGUUUCUUGGCAUUUUUCCUCCUUCGCCGCACCACAAAGCAUGCAACAAAGCCAAGAAGGCAAAGAGCUGCAACUCCUCCAACUACGCCACCUGAAGAUAAUGCUAGACAUUAGUAAAAUUUUACUUCUAAGAUCUAAAUUCAACCCAUCUAUUAGCAAAAUGGAAAUUACCUAUUAGACCGCCAUUGGUAGAGCUAUUACCUGCAACAUAAAAAAAUGAUGUCAGAACAAAGAAUAUGACAUGGAUAGAAAAGGGAUGGAAAAAAAUUAGCGGGCAAGUCUCAUGUUCUGUUGUUCCAAUAACAAUAAAACAUCUUAAGUUUUUGUUAUUCCAAUUAAUCAUCGUUAAUAUUCUGGUUUUAAAUUGCAGUAUACUACAAGAUAAAGAUUUUAGAGGUCUCAGCACCGACACCAUGAGUGGUUGCUUAAGGUAUAUUUAUCUGCAAUUUUUGCCAUAUAAAAAUCGCAAUGCAAUCACAGCUACAACCACAAUUUAAAUCAUGCUUAAAGUCAUUAGUUCUACAUGAAAUAAGAAUCAUCAACAAACACCAAACACAAUAGUUAACCAAAAGAAAAGCUAAAAUACCUGAAGGACACAACCCAUUACCACAAAUACAAAUAUGUUCGUUUUCAUCAGAAUCAAACCCACAUUGUUGGCCACCAGAACUAAUACACUCAAGACAAUCAUUCUCAAAAGGGUUGUUAUAAUUCACAUUAAACCCUUCCAUCAAAACCUCCCUAAGCAAAGAACGAUUACCAGCAAACCUAUUAGCUUGCUCUUCAAGAAUUGGCACCCCAACACCAUAAUCACAUUGAACAAACUUAAGAACUGGGUCUAAAGGAAAUGGACCAAUCAAAGUAUAUGAAUUGUUCUUAUAUCCAUUACUAUCACAGUAAAACAAAUUAUGUGGCUUUUCGGUGAAUAAUGAAGUGGGUUGGCACCCAUAAAACAAAGUAAUUUUACUGUUUCCCAAACCGUUGCUAAAGCUAGUUCCACCAAAAGUUGAGUUAACAUAAUGAUGGGUGCAUGUUUCAUUCCAAAGGUCUAAUCUUGCUAAGGUGAGAGAAUGAGUUACCGAGUUGACUUGAAGAACUCGGUAACUAACUGAGGAAAUGUUCAACUCUGGAACAUUGUUUUUGCAGUUCAGGUGAAACUGUGGUGGCCCACAGUAGGAAGGACGGUCGCCACCGGUGAAAGGGUAGGAAAGUUUGGUUAUGUGGCCACAGUUGAAGGUGGUGUUGUUGCAGCUAGAGAGUGAUGCAUGAGAGGGUAAAGAUGUCGUAUGACGGAGAUAGAAGAUGAAGAAGAUGAUGAAGGUGAUGAUGGGAGAAGAGAGGGACAAGGACAACAUAAUUUUGUUUCCUUAAUUUGGUUUUGUUGAAAUUUGCAAGCAUAGAAGAGUUGUUUUGUUACUUGUUGGGUUAGUAUUAUAAUGAGAUAAUAAUUAUCUAAUAGUUUGGACUGAAGAAAAAAAAUAAAGAACAGAAAACAUGAAGAUGAGUUUUGUUGACUUGGACUUUGAUGUCAUGUGAACAAUAUAUAAUCUAUAAACUGAGAUUUUUUAAGCAUUAUUUAGCAGCCAAGUGAGCCUUUUUCUAUUCAUUUUUUGUCCUGUUUGUAUUAUUUUAAAACAAUUGGCUGGUGGUAUAGUAAUAUAGUAUGUGGAAUUGAAAGGUAUAGUAUUUUAUGGUCAAGCAACAGUUUCUUAUUUGGUUGAAUGGAGGCUGUUCAAAAUCUAGAACUAUAUGGUUGAAAGGUAUUGGUCAAUAUAGAACACAUGGUUUGGAAGUUUUUGCAGGUUCAGAUGGUGGAAGUGUCUGCUUGAUUUUUUAUUUGUAUUUUUCUGGAGAGAAAGGGAAGAGGGGUUAGUUGGACUUGGUUAUAUUAGUUAAAUUGAACAGAUACAUGUAGUGACAUCAUUUGACAGGAAUAGUGGAACAUGUUCAAUGACAGUGGCAAUUGAGUUUAGUUUUAGAGAUUGAAUAUUUGGAGAAUUAAUAUAUAUGUCAUCAAUUCUAAAGUUUCAUUUUCAGAAAGAAAAAAAAUAAAUAGAGUAGCAGAAAUGGAAAAAAAAUCCAGUAUGGUUGUAUCUUCCAAUUUAUUCAUCUGUCAAAAUUUUCAUCCAAUUCAAAUUGUCUCUUACAUUUGCUAAAAAGAUAAUGAACUUUCAUGCCUAGUAAUGUUUAUGCAAGAAUUUUUAUACCUUGAGACUCUACCCUUUCUUUGCAGGAGGACUUUGUUGAGAGCAUAAGAAAUGGUUUGUGUUUAUAAAUGAGAGUCAUCUCUCAACUUAAAAGUUAGUUUUGUAGGGUUAAAUUAGUUCUAAAGCAAAUUUUAAGAUGGUAUCAAAGUCUAUCCAAGAUCUAUUUUCCCAUCCACUAUCAAGCUACGCAAGUCACGCUACAAAUAUCCAGUCUUAGGUGUGUGAGAUGAAAUACGGCCUAAUGAUAUGUUUAUGAGUGGAAGAUCUCUCACCUCACAAACUAGUUUUGUAAAGUUGAGUUAAAUCCAACCCAAAUUCUAAGAGUGUGUUUGGAUGGGGGAAUGUUUUGAGGGAAUGUAAUGUUAUGAGGGAAUUCAAAUACUUUGAGGUGAAUUCCAUUGUUUGAAUGGGGAAUGUAAUGUAAUGUUGAGGAAAUGUAAUGUUAUGAGGGAAUUCAAAUACUUUGAGGUAAAUUGUCUAGAAUUUUAAAUUCUUAAAUUUUCAAAUUACCUUAUCCAAACACACUCCAAGAGUUUUGAUGAUAAACUUGAUUUCCUUACUGCCCUAGUUUGUGUGGGUUUUCUUAUAAAAUACAUAACUAUAUACUAAACUAAUUGAAGUGGCCAAAUAUCCACCUUUGGAAAAAUAGGUUCAAGAUGGACAAAUCAACAUAAUUAGUUUACUCUAUAAAAAUCAUUUUAAUUUUCACCAAACGAAUAAAGCUACAAAGGCAAAAAGAAACCCAAUGCUAUCAAAAUAUCUUGUGAUAAAAAAGAGGUUAUUAAGAGUUAAGACCAACAACUUAAUCAAGGUGUCAAAGACUAUCAAAAUCGUAGAGACACCUACAAGACCAAAAAUAGAAUUCCUUUCAGAAGUCUUUAACAAGAUCAUCAAGAGACUCACAUCUACUAAUGCAAUAAAUUCUGCAUUUUGAAGGGGACAUGCAAAUCCAAAGUCAGAAAGGAGGAAUUAUUUGCAGAUAUUUGAUGAAAAAACGAAAAGAAUCUAAAUGAAAACAAGUCCUUAUUAGGAUUAUAAUUAGAAAAUCUAAGAGCUUGACGAGCUUCCAAGAUGAAAAGACAUUAUUGAAUGCAAAAACAUGACACAACAGUGGAACCUACAAUGGUGUUCACCUGAGCUACAUGAAUGUGGAAAGGAUCCAUCCUUGCAAAAGCAAGUGAAUUCCCUUGAACUUGACUCAUAACCACAGUGUCCACCAGAACUUUGACACUCAUGGCACAAACUAUUAUUUGCAUUCCACUCCACCCCAAAACCAUUAUCAAUAACAUCCUUCAAAUUUUCCACACUUGAAUUUGUUGCGACCCUUUCAGCCUCUGACUCCAAAAAUGGAACAACCACUCUAGAUUUGCAUGUUCUCAGUGUCUCACUAAACGAAUCCAAACUCUCGGCAUUAUCAGCAACGCUCUCCAACAUAAAAUAAUUAACCAUUUGAGUUCCAUUUAUACUACAGUUAAACUGCGGGGAAAAGCUAUCUGGCAUAAGAAAUGGGGUGUGAGGACAAUCAUAGUAGAGUGUCAAAUUAUGAGAAUCCGAACCAUAAUCGAAGAAAGUGCAAUCUAAUGUUGUGUUUUUAAGGCUGGUGGGACAAACAUUGUUCCAAUAAUCAGUUCUAACAACUUUGAGUCUAUGAUCUGAAUCACUGACUUCAAGAAUUUUAUAAUUUUGUGACAUAAUGGUAAUGCUUGCUAAUUCAUCUUUGCAUUGUAGCUCAAAAGAAGGGUGGCCACAAUAUUGUGGUCUACUUGAUCCCCAGAAAGGAUACCUCAAGUUUUUUAGGUUUGCACAGUCAAAUAAAGAACUGCAUUUAUUGUACUGCUGCAAAUUAUCAGCACAAGAUGAUGUUGGGAUUUUGAUUAGGAUUAUGGUUGUGAUCAAGAAUGAGAAGAUGCUUGGAUGAAGAAGUUGCAUCUUUAGUAAAAAUGGAUUUGUGGAGAAACAAAGGAUUUGGACACUGAAAUAGGAUUUUGCCAAGUUGAUGUGAGUUUGAUGAGUUUUAAAGUAUACUAGUAGUAUUGAAUUGAUGCAAAUGAAAAUUUAGGUCACCUAUAGUACUAAUAAUAUUUGUAUUUUCUGUUGGAAAUUAGUAUUACUUUACCUAACACUAGUAGAAAUGAGAGAAACUGUAAGAAUUGAUGCUUGGAGUCAAACAAUAAAUCAGUUUUCAAAUUACUAUGUCUAAAUACUCUAAACUACUCAAGCCUACCAAAUACUUAUGUGAUUCAUGAAUUAAUCAAAAGUCAAAAGUGGUGGGACAGUGACACGUUUCAACUUUUAACCAAUAAUAAAAAAAUAAAAGUAAAAAGUAAUCCCUAUAAAAAAAUGUAAUAAGUAUCAAAACAUUGAUAAAAGUCCCAAGUUUAAUAAGAUAUGGCAUGAAAAUGUGUUUAUAAGUGAGGACAAUCUUCAUUAAGAUUGAGUUAAACUCAACCCAAAGUUCUAAAAUGGUAUCACAAAUCUAUCUAAAAUCGUAUGAUAUCUUGUCAGCACUAUCGAAUCAUUCAGAUCACGAUUGAUACGUCCAAUUAUGACUGUGUGGAGGUUGCCAACGAUUUUAAUUCAGCAAAGGAGACUCUUUGACACGGUCAUAUCAUAUGGAUGGUGCCAAAAUUAGGCCACAUAAUAAUCCAAAUUAAAGAAUAUUGCUAGAGUUGGACCAAUUAAAACUCUAGGAUUUUCAAAGAUGUGACAACGUAAUAGUUUGGUGAAAAUCAUGUAGGAAAUGGUCAAGAGGAGAAAUUGUACGUAACCGAAAAAGUCAAGCAACUUAGUUCUGAAGGUAACAAGCAAUCUCCGACACAUUCUUCUUCAGGGGCCAUGGUGAAGAAUCAGUAAGAUGAAAAUUACCAUACUUAGAGUCUUUUAAUCUAAUUUUUUUAAUUAUAUUAUAAAUUAUAAGAAUUAUCUAUAUUUUAAGCCUAUGAAAAGUUGUUUUUUGACAGCAAAAGUUAAUAUUUUUUAGUGAUUGUACCAAAAGUUAAUUUUAGUAGUAAUUGUUAUCUAUUGAUAGUAAAGAAUGAACCUUCAUUCAAUUUUUUUGUCACUUUACUCCUUAACCCCCCAAACCAAUAUAACAUUCCCUUGAUUUUAUAGUAUUUGUUUUCAUCAUAAUUUUAUAGAAUAGAUAUCUUAAGAAACAUCUACUGAUAAAAUUUUCCUCAGAAGAAAAAAAUCUACCUGGUAAAAUCUGAUUGUAAAAAAGUUGAAACACUUAUUGGAUCAGGAUGAUCUCUAAAUUACUCUAUUAUUACUAUAACUAGUUGUAGAAACUAACUUAGGAGUUAAUUGUAUAAGAAAGUGAACUACAUACUUGAGGUUGGGGCCUUCCGUGAACCACAUAUAUCUGUAUAAGCUCCAUCAUUGCAGAAACAUCUGAAUUCAGUUCCAUUGUUGCCACACGCACCACCAGAAUCAACACACCUCUGGCAAUCUGCAUAAUUUCCCAUCCACCUCAAAUCAAAACCGCCUUGUAAUGCUUCGUUUAUAUCAUCAAGAUUUGUAAUUCUUGUUACCGAAAUUGGAAUCGCAAUAAUAACACUCAGAUUGCAUGUGAGUGAGAGCGAACGAGGAUCCGAAAGGGUGUACACAACUUCAAUAUUACCUCCGCAGUUGGCACUAUAAACCACAUUCAAUACAGUUGUAUCACAAUUGUAUAACAGAUUUAGUUGAGAAGAAACACUACCAUAAG
rnacentral:lncRNA from 1 species